UCCCAGGUGGCCCAGUGGUUAAGGCUCUGUGCUUCCAAUGCAGGGGGCCCAGGUUCGAUCCCUGGUUGAGGAA